rnacentral:rRNA from 1 species
ACGUAGGUGGCAAGCGUUGUCCGGAAUUAUUGGGCGUAAAGGGCGCGCAGGCGGCGUCGUAAGUCGGUCUUAAAAGUGCGGGGCUUAACCCCGUGAGGGGACCGAAACUGCGAUGCUAGAGUAUCGGAGAGGAAAGCAGAAUUCCUAGUGUAGCGGUGAAAUGCGUAGAUAUUAGGAGGAACACCAGUGGCGAAAGCGGCUUUCUGGACGACAACUGACGCUGAGGCGCGAAAGCCAGGGGAGCAAACGG